UGGGGAAUAUUGCACAAUGGGCGCAAGCCUGAUGCAGCCAUGCCGCGGGUGUGAAGAAGGCCGUCGGGUUGUAAAGCACUUUCAGCGGGGAGGAAGGCGUUAAGGUUAAUAACCUUGGCGAUUGACGUUACCCGCAGAAGAAGCACCGGCUAACUCCGUGCCAGCAGCCGCGGUAAUACGGAGGGUGCAAGCGUUAAUCGGAAUUACUGGGCGUAAAGCGCACGCAGGCGGUCUGUCAAGUCGGAUGUGAAAUCCCCGGGCUCAACCUGGGAACUGCAUUCGAAACUGGCAGGCUAGAGUCUUGUAGAGGGAGGUAGAAUUCCAGGUGUAGCGAUGAAAUGCGUAGAGAUCUGGAGAAAUACCGGUGGCGAAGGCGGCCCCCUGGACAACGACUGACGCUCAGGUGCGAAAGCGUGGGUAGCAAACAGG
rnacentral:rRNA from 1 species